rnacentral:snRNA from 1 species
AUUGUUUUUUGGUAUUUUGGCUAAGAUUAAAUGUAGUGUUCUUGUCAGUCGUAUAUCUGACAUGCUCUCUCUGUGAGGACGAUAUGUUAGGUUGGUUUUUGAAACAGGGUUGUAUAAAAGAGGCCUGCUCUGCUGAUUACACACAUUAUCUGCGUAUUCCAGUUCUCCCAGGCGUGGGUGGCUAGUUU